GACGAACGCUGGCGGCGUGCUUAACACAUGCAAGUCGAACGAGUGGCGAACGGGUGAGUAACGUGUAUCAACCUGCCCUUCAGUGGGGGAUAACUACUGGAAACGGUAGCUAAUACCGCAUACCAUCGGAUGUGCCCAGAUGGGAUGUGCUAGUAGGUGGGGUAACGGCUCACCUAGGCGACGAUCCCUAGCUGGUCUGAGAGGAUGACCAGCCACACGGGAACUGAGACACGGUCCAAACUCCUACGGGAGGCAGCAGUGGGGAAUAUUGCACAAGGGGCGCAAGCCUGAUGCAGCCAUGCCGCGUGUAUGAAGAAGGCCUUCGGGUUAUAAAGUACUUUCAGCGAGGAGGCGUUACUCGCAGAAGAAGCACCGGCUAACUCCGUGCCAGCAGCCGCGGUAAUAC
rnacentral:rRNA from 1 species